UACGUAGGGGGCAAGCGUUGUCCGGAAUCAUUGGGCGUAAAGCGCGUGUAGGCGGCCAGAAAAGUCCGCUGUGAAAACUCGAGGCUCAACUUCGAGCUGUCGGUGGAAACUUUCUGGCUAGAGUCCGGAAGAGGAGAAUGGAAUUCCUGGUGUAGCGGUGAAAUGCGCAGAUAUCAGGAGGAACACCGGUGGCGAAGGCAGGUCUCUGGGCAUUAACUGACGCUGAGGAGCGGAAAGCAUGGGGAGCGAACAGG
rnacentral:rRNA from 1 species